rnacentral:rRNA from 1 species
CGAAAGCCUGACGGAGCAAUACCGCGUGGAGGAUGACGGCCUGUGGGUCUUAAACUCCUUUUCUUAGAGAAGAAGUUCUGACGGUAUCUAAGGAAUAAGCAUCGGCUAACUCCGUGCCAGCAGCCGCGGUAAUACGGGGGAUGCAAGCGUUAUCCGGAAUGAUUGGGCGUAAAGCGUCUGUAGGUGGCUUUUCAAGUCAACUGUCAAAAAUCAAGGCUUAACCUUGAGUCGGCAGUUGAAACUAUGAAGCUUGAGUUAGGUAGGGGCAGAGGGAAUUCCUAGUGUAGCGGUGAAAUGCGUAGAUAUUAGGAAGAACACCAAUCGCGAAAGCACUCUGCUGGGCCAUAACUGACACUCAGAGACGAAAGCUAGGGGAGCG